UACAGAGGUCCCAAGCGUUGUUCGGAUUCACUGGGCGUAAAGGGUGCGUAGGUGGUGAGGUAAGUCGGAUGUGAAAUCUCGGAGCUUAACUCCGAAAUGGCAUUGGAAACUACCUCGCUAGAGGAUCGGAGGGGAGACUGGAAUUCUCGGUGUAGCAGUGAAAUGCGUAGAUAUCGAGAGGAACACCAGUGGCGAAGGCGAGUCUCUGGACGAUUCCUGACGCUGAGGCACGAAAGCCAGGGGAGCAAACGGG
rnacentral:rRNA from 1 species